CUAUUAGUUAUAUUUGCUUGUCCACUCGCUUCUGUCCCAGUUGAAGUCCCCAGAGCAAACAGCUGGAUCUAUAUUGCGGUCCCCAGCUGGGCCAGCCAGUGGAAACACUCAGCUGGAGCCAUAAACCUCCACCACCACCGUAAGUCAUCACCGAACAAACGAACAGAGCGCAGGGCAUCCAAUCUUCGCACUCGUACUAUCAGAAAGCUGGCACGCUAGAAAGUCUUGCCGAAAAGGUGCGUUCUACCCAAGCGCCAACCGACGCAUGUCAGCCGGAACCGGUGUCACCAUGUCGCAAUCCUAUCAAAGGUUUCCACGAAGCGGUUUCGAUCAACACCUGCUUCUACUCGGAUACGCAGACUACCAAUCACUCGGGAGACACGCCUAACAUCCGACCUUAUGCAAGCAGCUCCAAUCGCCGGCGACACACUUGACCGUUGCGGACAUUAGGAACCUCCACCGCCAUCAUGCAGUCCGAAGUACGGUUCAUCGCCACUGGAUCCUUUCAAAACCCUCCCGUCCGGCGUUAGAUUAGUUCAGACUGCAGUACAAAAACGACGGAAAUCUUUUCAGCUCUCAAGUAAGGAUCCUCGGGAUUUUCGCCAUCGUUUAAUCGGCAUUGCAUUAAUCUUUGCCUCGGAUGAAUAUCGAGCUUGGUUGCGACGAGCACCCAGCAUUUCUGCUACGAACAAAUCUUGGCAUCCCAAAUCAGCAGCGGACCAUUGGUUCUCUUGUUCGGCCUACAUCUACAGCAGCCGGUUGCUCACUGGACCAGAUUAUGCCGAUGCCGCAUGUCUUCACUGCCGGCACGGUCUAUGUCCUCGCUACAUAUCGUCGUCAAUUCGUUAAUCAAGUGUCCAGCGUAUGCGACAGCUGUUGGAACUGACUCAAGCUGGUCGGAUGGUGUACCAGGAUCAGCAAUGGCAGCCCUCAUCGGCCAUCAGAGCCCGGCACCUAAACCGAGCACAGCACUGCCCCACAACCAUCGUCAGAUCGACAUUAACCCGGCCGAGUAUACAAAGCACAGUUGUUGGCGCAUUCGGAAUGUCCAGAAUGUUGUGGAUCCAUCUGCUUGCCGGUCGUGGAUUACGGGGCAUGUCUGAAAUGUCCCAAGCGCAGCAACCGAUGAUCCGAGAUGUACUGCUCACUACUUCCCAGCUGCUUCCCAGCGGCAAUCCGUGGAGAACCUGCUUACUGCCCGCCACGCUGCCCGCAAGCUGCACCCGGAACGGAUCUUGGCUUCGGCACGGCUGUUCUAGCGAAAAUUCCGAAAGAUGCAGGUGUUCCGUAUUACUUAUUUGGUACAA